rnacentral:rRNA from 1 species
CAGCAGCCGCGGGAAUACAGAGGGUGCGAGCGUUAAUCGGAUUUACUGGGCGUAAAGCGUGCGUAGGCGGCUUCUUAAGUCGGAUGUGAAAUCCCUGAGCUUAACUUAGGAAUUGCAUUCGAUACUGGGAAGCUAGAGUAUGGGAGAGGAUGGUAGAAUUCCAGGUGUAGCGGUGAAAUGCGUAGAGAUCUGGAGGAAUACCGAUGGCGAAGGCAGCCAUCUGGCCUAAUACUGACGCUGAGGUACGAAAGCAUGGGGAGCAAACAGGAUUAGAUACCCCCGUGUCCCUGUCUCUUAUACA